UGAAUAAUAACGUGAUUAAGCAAUGUCAAAUUGCGAUGAAUCAGUGCAUACGUAAAAAAUAUAUAUAUGGCAUAACAUAAUCCCGUUCAUGUUCCAUGCAACGGGGCGGAGAUAGGGCGUAUAUACUGGAACCCGAAAUAUGGUGAAUUAUAUCUGAGCAGGAUGAAGCCAGAGAAAACUCUGGUGGAGGUCCGAAGCGAUUCUGACGUGCAAAUCGAUCGUAUGACUUUGAUAUGGGGCGAAAGACUAAUCGAACUACCUAGUAGCUGGCUCCUUCUGAAGAUUCCUUCAGGAUAGAUGGAGUAUGUAAUGAAGCUGUUAUAUUCGGCAAAGCGAAUGAUUAGAGGAAUUGUGGGACG
rnacentral:ncRNA from 1 species